rnacentral:rRNA from 1 species
AACGAACGCUGGCGGCAUGCCUAACACAUGCAAGUCGAACGAGACCUUCGGGUCUAGUGGCGCACGGGUGCGUAACGCGUGAGAACCUGCCCUUAGGUUCGGAAUAACUCCCCGACAGGGGUGCUAAUACCGGAUAAUGUCUUCGGACCAAAGAUUUAUCGCCUUUGGAUGGGCCCGCGUUGGAUUAGCUAGUUGGUAGGGUAAAAGCCUACCAAGGCGACGAUCCAUAGCUGGUCUGAGAGGAUGAUCAGCCACACUGGGACUGAGACACGGCCCAGACUCCUACGGGAAGCAGCAGUGGGGAAUAUUGGACAAUGGGCGAAAGCCUGAUCCAGCAAUGCCGCGUGAGUGAUGAAGGCCUUAGGGUUGUAAAGCUCUUUUACCCGGGAUGAUAAUGACAGUACCGGGAGAAUAAGCUCCGGCUAACUCCGUG